UUCAAUUUUUGAAGUUUCUCUAGCUUUUUUGUUGGGUGAAAUCAGUAUAAGAAGCUCUUUCUUCUUUAAAAAUUAGUAGGAACUAAAAAACUUUGAUUUAAAACCAGGAUUAGAUACCCUGUUAUUCUCAGUUAUUCUUAAACAGGGUAGUAAAAGUUGUUCUUCAAACCCAAAGAUUUUGGCGGCACUUUAUCCAAAUAGAGGAGCUUGUCCCUUAAUCGAUAGUCCUCGUUUUAUCUUUCCUUCAUUUGUAAAGCUUGUAUACCGCCGUUGUCAGAUUACUUUUAGAGAAUGUUUUCAAGUUAAAAGACUUUAUAACUUCAGGUCAAGGUGCAGUUAAUAUGGGGGUGGAGGUGAGCUACAGUUUUCUUUAGAAAAUAUGGAUUCUAAGCUUUGAAGCUAGCUGAAGGUGGAUUUACUAGUAAAGUAA
rnacentral:rRNA from 1 species